rnacentral:rRNA from 1 species
AACGAACGCUGGCGGCAUGCCUAACACAUGCAAGUCGAACGAGACCUCCGGGCCUAGUGGCGCACGUGUGCGUAACGCGUGGUAACCUGCCCUUGGGUUCGGUAUAACUCCCCGAAAGAGGUGCUAAUACCGGUUAAUGUCUUCGGACCAAAGAUCUAUCGCCUUUGGAUGGGCCCGCGUUGGAUUAGCUAGUUGGUAGGGUAAAAGCCUGCCAAGGCGAGGAUCCAUAGCUGGUCGGAGAGGAUGAUCAGCCACACUGGGACUGAGACACGGCCCAGACUCCUACGGAGGGCAGCAGUGGGGAAUAUUGGAGGAUGGGCGAAAGCCUGAUAAAGCAGUGCGGGGUGAGUGAUGAAGGCCGUAGGGUUGUAAAGCUCUUUUACACGAGAUGAGAAUGACAGUAACGGGAGAAUAAGCACCGGCUAACUACGUG